UUUUUCCUACGGGAGGCAGCAGUGGGGAAUAUUGCACAAUGGGGGAAACCCUGAUGCAGCGACGCCGCGUGAGCGAUGAAGUAUUUCGGUAUGUAAAGCUCUAUCAGCAGGGAAGAAAAUGACGGUACCUGACUAAGAAGCCCCGGCUAACUACGUGCCAGCAGCCGCGGUAAUACGUAGGGGGCAAGCGUUAUCCGGAUUUACUGGGUGUAAAGGGAGCGUAGACGGCUGCGCAAGUCAGAUGUGAAAACUCAGGGCUCAACCCUGAGCCUGCAUUUGAAACUGUGUUUCUUGAGUGCUGGAGG
rnacentral:rRNA from 1 species